rnacentral:piRNA from 1 species
UAGUUACAAGCCGGCUUCGAGAUGCUGA